GACGAACGCUGGCGGCGUGCUUAACACAUGCAAGUCGAACGGUGAAGCUCCAGCUUGCUGGAGUGGAUCAGUGGCGAACGGGUGAGUAACACGUGAGCAACCUGCCCCUGACUCUGGAAUAAGCGCUGGAAACGGCGUCUAAUACUGGAUACGAGAAGGGUCCGCAUGGGCACUUUCUGGAAAGUUUUUCGGUUGGGGAUGGGCUCGCGGCCUAUCAGCUUGUUGGUGAGGUAAUGGCUCACCAAGGCGACGACGGGUAGCCGGCCUGAGAGGGCGACCGGCCACACUGGGACUGAGACACGGCCCAGACUCCUACGGGAGGCAGCAGUGGGGAAUAUUGCACAAUCGGCGAAAGCCUGAUGCAGCGACGCCGCGUGAGGGAUGACGGCCUUCGGGUUGUAAACCUCUUUCAGCAGGGAAGAAGCGAAAGUGACGGUACCUGCAGAAGAAGCACCGGCUAACUACGUG
rnacentral:rRNA from 1 species